GUCGUUAUAGUAUAGUGGUAAGUAUUCCCGCCUGUCACGCGGGUAACCCGAGUUCGAUUCCGGCAACGGUG
rnacentral:tRNA from 1 species